rnacentral:tRNA from 1 species
GAGGGUAUAGCUCAAGUGGUAGAGCACAUGCUUAGCAUGCACGAAGUCCUGGGUUCAAUCCCUGAUACCUUCU